rnacentral:lncRNA from 10 species
ACGCGACGGGUUCUGGUCCAAAAACCGCCUAAGUGCUCCGAUAACACCCAGGGACUCGCCUAUUUUUACAGCGCGUUUCUACUUCCAAGGUCUCGGCGUAAUCAUCUUAAUGAGCGUUACUGCUUGCAGGGCACAGUGGCUCACGCCUGUAAUCCCAGCACUUUGGAAGGCCAACGCAGGAGGAUCGCUUGAGCCCAGGAGUUUGAGACCAGCUUGGAAAUAAGAUAUGUGGAACGGAGUUAUGUAUCAAAACCCACUUUGAAGGAAGUGGUCAUAGUAAGUGCUACAAGAACACCCAUUGGAUCUUUUUUAGGCAGCCUUUCCUUGCUGCCAGCCACUAAGCUUGGUUCCAUUGCAAUUCAGGGAGCCAUUGAAAAGGCAGGGAUUCCAAAAGAAGAAGUGAAAGAAGCAUACAUGGGUAAUGUUCUACAAGGAGGUGAAGGACAAGCUCCUACAAGGCAGGCAGUAUUGGGUGCAGGCUUACCUAUUUCUACUCCAUGUACCACCAUAAACAAAGUUUGUGCUUCAGGAAUGAAAGCCAUCAUGAUGGCCUCUCAAAGUCUUAUGUGUGGACAUCA